rnacentral:rRNA from 1 species
AGACCCGAAACCCGGUGAUCUAGCCAUGGGCAGGUUGAAGGUUGGGUAACACUAACUGGAGGACCGAACCGACUAAUGUUGAAAAAUUAGCGGAUGACCUGUGGCUGGGGGUGAAAGGCCAAUCAAACCGGGAGAUAGCUGGUUCUCCCCGAAAGCUAUUUAGGUAGCGCCUCGUGAAUUCAUCUCCGGGGGUAGAGCACUGUUUCGGCUAGGGGGCCAUCCCGGCUUACCAACCCGAUGCAAACUGCGAAUACCGGAGAAUGUUAUCACGGGAGACACACGGCGGGUGCUAACGUCCGUCGUGAAGAGGGAAACAACCCAGACCGCCAGCUAAGGUCCCAAAGUCAUGGUUAAGUGGGAAACGAUGUGGGAAGGCCCAGACAGCCAGGAUGUUGGCUUAGAAGCAGCCAUCAUUUAAAGAAAGCGUAAUAGCUCACUGGUCGAGUCGGCCUGCGCGGAAGAUGUAACGGGGCUAAACCAUGCACCGAAGCUGCGGCAGCGAACGUAUCACCCAAGACAACUUUACGGAGUUGACGAUUGACGGAGCGAAGCGACGUCAAAGCGUUCAUUAAAGUCGAGUUGGCUUAGGGAUACGUUCGUUGGGUAGGGGAGCGUUCUGUAAGCCUGUGAAGGUGUGUCGUGAGGCAUGCUGGAGGUAUCAGAAGUGCGAAUGCUGACAUAAGUAACGAUAAAGCGGGUGAAAAGCCCGCUCGCCGGAAGACCAAGGGUUCCUGUCCAACGUUAAUCGGGGCAGGGUGAGUCGACCCCUAAGGCGAGGCCGAAAGGCGUAGUCGAUGGGAAACGGGUUAAUAUUCCCGUACUUGGUGUUACUGCGAAGGGGGGACGGAGAAGGCUAUGUUGGCCGGGCGACGGUUGUCCCGGUUUAAGCGUGUAGGUGUGUGUUCCAGGUAAAUCCGGUUCACUUUAACACUGAGGCGUGACGACGAGGCACUACGGUGCUGAAGCAACAAAUGCCCUGCUUCCAGGAAAAGCCUCUAAGCAUCAGGUAACAUCAAAUCGUACCCCAAACCGACACAGGUGGUCAGGUAGAGAAUACCAAGGCGCUUGAGAGAACUCGGGUGAAGGAACUAGGCAAAAUGGUGCCGUAACUUCGGGAGAAGGCACGCUGACACGUAGGUGAAGUGAUUUACUCAUGGAGCUGAAGUCAGUCGAAGAUACCAGCUGGCUGCAACUGUUUAUUAAAAACACAGCACUGUGCAAACACGAAAG